rnacentral:rRNA from 1 species
UACGUAGGGUGCGAGCGUUGUCCGGAAUUAUUGGGCGUAAAGAGCUCGUAGGCGGUCUGUCGCGUCGGUCGUGAAAACUUGGGGCUUAACCCUGAGCUUGCGGUCGAUACGGGCAUGACUGGAGUUCGGUAGGGGAGACUGGAAUUCCUGGUGUAGCGGUGAAAUGCGCAGAUAUCAGGAGGAACACCGGUGGCGAAGGCGGCAUUCUGGACCGACAUUGACGCUGAGGAGCGAAAGCCAGGGGAGCAAACGGG